AAGCUGAGACUCUGAUGAAGCUGUGGCGUGAAUGUGAAUUGGGAGCAGACUCUCCAUGGACCAGUGAGAUGAGGCAGGGGGAGAGAGAAGUACAUGGGAAAUAUGCAGGAAACUAUUGCUCAUAUGGUUUUCAAGAGACUGCAGCUUUCCUCUCCUUUAUCAGGCACAAGAGAAACAAAAUGCAGCAAUAGCAAUAACAACAACUUGAAAUCAGACACAGCUGAAUCAAGUUUCAGCAACAGAAGGCAGUGGAGAUGGUGCUAUGUGGUGUGGCCCAGAAGGGAUUUCCUGCAGAAUGUGCUAAGGCAGAGGCAGGCUAGUCUUUCCCUGGACCUGGAAACCAAAGCCUGCCCAUUUCCUUCAGGAUCUUCUGGCUCUGAUUAUCCCUCAAACCUUCCCUCCUUUCUAAAACCAUUCACUUGUUUGUUCAUUCAUGUGUUUGUUUGUUCAUUCAUUCAUUUAUUCAUUCAUUCUUGUGUAUUUUACUGGUAGAGAAUUUUCAUCCAUCCACUUCCAUCUUUUCCUCUAUCCCACAGGCAUUGGAGGAAGGCUACUUCUGUGGGGGCUCUGUGCCCAGCAUGGGAACCACCCCUUGAAUAAAACAUUACCCCCCCACC